AAUUUAACAUAAUUAUUACAAUAAUUUGAACUUAUUUUGGAUAUUGUCAAUCAUCUUAGGUUAAUUCUUAAAAAUGUUUUAGAAACUGGAUCUUCCCAUCAAGUGAAGAACAGACAAAGGAAUGUCUAAUCUAAUGGGUCCCUUAGACAGAAAUAAGUCUCCAUCUUUAGACCUAUCAAUAGGUUAUAAUGAAUUGCUGACCUUCAAGCACAUCUUGGAAGGGCAUCACAAUGGAGUCUGCACAAAUGAUAGGAAUGCAGCCAGCUGCAAGAGCUUCCAACAGUGUGGGCUGUCCAAGUCUUGCCCCUCGAAUCACUAAACAAAACUUGGAACGCUGCAAAGAAGAAAUCUCAAGUUCCUAUUUAAAAUACAACUGCAAAUGCAUAAAGAAUAUCUUUCCAACCUCUACAAAUAAAUGACUGCUGCAAACCCCAGCAGCAGAACUGAAAGUGUGGGCAGCUACAAGUACUUUACUAUCCUGUCAUUUUGAAAACAUGUAAAACAUUAUCCGGUGUCCAGCUGCAGCUUGUUCCUUUGUUUUUAGUUUUCAUAUUGUUAUAAAUGGUCAGAAUUUCAACAGACAAACACAAAGAAGAAUAAACUUCUCACCAAUGGACAUGAUACUGACAAA